AUUGAACGCUGGCGGCAUGCUUUACACAUGCAAGUCGAACGGUAACAGACCGCAAGGUGCUGGCGAGUGGCGAACGGGUGAGUAAUGCAUCGGAACGUGCCCAGUCGUGGGGGAUAACGCAGCGAAAGCUGUGCUAAUACCGCAUACGAUCUGUGGAUGAAAGCGGGGGACCGUAAGGCCUCGCGCGAUUGGAGCGGCCGAUGUCAGAUUAGGUAGUUGGUGGGGUAAAGGGCUACCAAGCCGACGAUCUGUAGCUGGUCUGAGAGGAGGACCAGCCACACUGGUACUGGGACACGGCCCAGACUCCUACGGGAGGCAGCAGUGGGGAAUUUUGGACAAUGGGCGCAAGCCUGAUCCAGCAAUGCCGCGUGCAGGAAGAAGGCCUUCGGGUUGUAAACUGCUUUUGUACGGAACGAAACGGUCUGGGUUAAUACCCUGGGCUAAUGACGGUACCGUAAGAAUAAGCACCGGCUAACUACGUGCCAGCCGCCGCGGUAA
rnacentral:rRNA from 1 species